AAGAUGAGGGGAGAAUAUGAGAGGGAGUAGUAAUAAAAGUGAAAAUCAAAACUAAAAACUAAAAUCUAUUUGAAAUUGUUUUCACUUUCAAGUUUAUAUUUACACUUUUGUUACUCAUCCCUCAUAUCCUCCCCUCUCAUCCUU
rnacentral:miRNA from 1 species